GACGAACGCUGGCGGCGUGCUUAACACAUGCAAGUCGAACGGAAAGGCCCUGCUUUUGUGGGGUGCUCGAGUGGCGAACGGGUGAGUAACACGUGAGUAACCUGCCCUUGACUUUGGGAUAACUUCAGGAAACUGGGGCUAAUACCGGAUAGGAGCUCCUGCUGCAUGGUGGGGGUUGGAAAGUUUCGGCGGUUGGGGAUGGACUCGCGGCUUAUCAGCUUGUUGGUGGGGUAGUGGCUUACCAAGGCUUUGACGGGUAGCCGGCCUGAGAGGGUGACCGGCCACAAUGGGACUGAGAUACGGCCCAGACUCCUACGGGCGGCAGCAGUGGGGAAUAUUGCACAAUGGGCGGAAGCCUGAUGCAGCAACGCCGCGUGCGGGAUGACGGCCUUCGGGUUGUAAACCGCUUUCGCCUGUGACGAAGCGUGAGUGACGGUAAUGGGUAAAGAAGCACCGGCUAACUACGUG
rnacentral:rRNA from 1 species